GCCCUUUGCCACACCUUUUGCUAACCAGGAAGGAGAAGCCAGACCCACCAGAAAAGUGGUGGAGUUUAAGGGAGGCGUGGAAGGAGCAUGCAAAAGAGGAAGCGGGGGAGGAGGGGGAGUGGAUGGAUGGAUGAAGGUUGGCUGGAGCUGUCAGUCUCAUCUCUCUCCUGUCUCUCCUCAUCCAUUCUCACCAUGCUGACAGCAGUCUUCCAAGCAGAACACCGCCUGCCUGCAAGCGACUGCAUUCUGAGCAAAAGGAUGGAUUAUUCACCUGUGCCACUUCCUUCCUUCCAUGAAUCCAGUCCCACAUGCACAGAAAGCAUCCCAGGAUCAACAGCUCUCACUACCUGCCUAUUUGCCUGCCCCCCUGGAACCCGCCAGCCUUUCACCAGCCGCCUCUCCCACUUUCCCAAGUAAAUCAGAACAUUUUCUCUGACAGUCUUCCUUACACUUGCACCGCUCUCCUCUCUCCUAGUGGACCUAUCUAAAGACCACAGCUUAAACAGUCCCCAUCACUCUAGUGAACAAAUCCUGCCCGGUCUUCCUUUCAAGUUAAAUAAAGACUUUAAAACUGCUA